UUGUGUGAGGAGGGUAGUUGGUGUUUUAAAGUCACUAACUCUGGCUCUUUUAUUUGGCUGUGUCAGUGGAUGACUUUUUGCUUGGGAUUGGGGACUAUGGAUUCUCUUGUAUCUCCUGUUACCCUGGGAUCCAAAUGCUACCUGCCAAGCCUAUUGCUUUGAAAAAGGAAAACCUGGGUUCUCAAAAAAAAAAAAAAUGGGAAACAGUGUUCAUGGCUUACACAGUCCAGUCAACAUCUGCACCUGGCUUUGAUUACCCUGGAAGCUGUAGGAUAUGCUCUCAAAUGGAAGAAUGUUUUCCUGAUUUGGGCAAUUAUGAGAUUGAAGUUAAAAAUGAUCUCUAAACAAUAAAUAUCGAGUAUCCUCUUGAACCAACUCCCUGAGUCCUUCCAUCAGCAUCACUUAGGGGCAAUGAUUAAAGAAUGACAACCCAGGAUCAGAAACAAUGAAAC